rnacentral:rRNA from 1 species
GAUGAACGCUAGCGGCAGGCCUAACACAUGCAAGUCGAGGGGUAACAGGGUAGCAAUAUCGCUGACGACCGGCGCACGGGUGAGUAAUGCAUAUGCAACCUUCCUUUAACUGGGGCAUAGCCCGGAGAAAUUCGGAUUAAUACCCCAUAACAUCAUUGAAAGGCAUCUUUUAAUGAUUAAAGCUCCGGCGGUUAAAGAUGGGCAUAUGUGCCAUUAGCUAGUUGGUGAGGUAACGGCUCACCAAGGCUACGAUGGUUAGGGGGUCUGAGAGGAUGAUCCCCCACACUGGUACGGAGACACGGACCAGACUCCUACGGGAGGCAGCAGUGAGGAAUAUUGGGCAAUGGGCGCAAGCCUGACCCAGCCAUGCCGCGUGAAGGAUGAAGGCCCUAUGGGUUGUAAACUUCUUUUUUACGGGACAAAACUCUCGGUCGUGACCGGGAUUGAUGGUACUGUAUGAAUAAGCAUCGGCUAACUCCGUGCCAGCCGCCGCAGUAAGAC